UCAGAGUCUCCCACUGGAUGGAAGAUUGCUUUUGCAGUUGUUAGUUCUAUUCUUGGUCUUGCUGUUGUUUUGUCAUCAAAAAAAUUCGGGAAAGAGAUAAAUGAUCACAAGACCCAGGAAACUCAUCUAGGGAACAGCUUAAAAACCCUAACCUGAUGACCUGAGAGGCCUGAUGACAAAGAUCACAGAUAAAUCUGCAUGGAGGGAACUUCUCCAAUCUCCGUGUCUUCGUGGACUCCUCGUCUGACAAUUUCUUCUGUACUGAGGCCGCUGUGAGGUCUCACGCAGUCAGCAAGGAAAUGACUUUACUUUCAGUUUCAUAAAUAGGACCUAUAAACUGCAUCAGCAUUGUCACUUAAUUUUAAAGGGGACAUAUAAUGAAAAUCUCUCAUUUUCAGUCAUGGUGCACAAACAUGAGUAGGCUAUCUGGAGGGCCGACCAACCCAAAACCUGAAAUAAAACAACCCAGCCAGUUCUUUGUGGGCAUCCUCAAUCUGAUGUAAUUCAACAAGCCAUUCAGAUUCAGCUCCUCUUCCUAUGUCAAAUGCAGGCUCAUUAGAAUAUACUGCUCCUCAUCUCCACCAUGGAUGUAUUAUAAGAUAUUUCCAUUUCGUCACCCGUUAUCCAAUCUGUCCGUUCAUAUCGGCUGCGAUCAUGAGCGGAGCGGUCGCACCAGCCCGAGCACUGCAGCGGACGUUUACAUUACAAUCAUGUUGUGCUUCUUUUUAUUUCUCAAGUUGCUAAGCCAGAGUUUGUCAGGUUGAACUAGACACUGUUGUUGGCUGUGAUAUCAGAAUUGUGCCUCUACAGUAUGUUUUAUCUGAUUAACUCUCAGGGCAUCCUGUGAUUUCAUUUCUAUCUAAAUAAAAGAUGAAAUAUGUCAAACUGUA